rnacentral:lncRNA from 1 species
UAGGAAACCAAUAUAAACACUUAACUGGAGUGUCAAAUCUAUGUUCGUAUUUAUUGAUUAAAUGGAUGGCUCCUAAUUCCACCCUACCUCAUCAGAGCUCUGCAAGGUCUUUACCAGGCUUAUUCCACAUCCUAGACCCAGGACCACAAUUUGACAGUUAAGAUCUUCACCAGAAGAGACCUCAAUGCCUGCCCUCUUGUCAGACCAGCUGCAUUCAUCCAACCUACCCUGAUUGACCUCUGACCCCACUACCAUGUGCUCCAGACAGGACCCAUGGGAGCUCCAGGCUCGGCCACGUUCCCAGGCAGACUCUGGGAGUCAGCGGAUGUGGCCAGGUUUACCCAUUGCGUUGGGACGUGCCUGCUGAAACGGAAACACUGCUCCCAGCAGAGGACUUUAUGGUGGGAGGCAUGGGCUUUGCCCUUGCUAACCUGACCUCUGUCCCCAGCCCAAUUUCCCGUCUCUAGGCUCCAAAGCAGUUCCUGUGAGUGCCUAGGGGUACUGUUUCCAUUUAAAAAAUAUGGCAAGUGCUCUCUUCAGCAGCACAUAUACUAAAAUUAGAAUGAGACAGAGACAGCAUGGCCCCUGGGCAAGGAUGACACACAAAACAAAAAUUAAUUAAAAACAUAAUCAUGAAGGGGGAAAAGCAUGACAAAAUCUACUGCUAAGGCCAGGACACACAGAGAGAAGGCAACUAUUAAGAAAAGAAAGCUGAGCACGGUGGCUCGUGCCUAUAAUCCCAGCACUUUGGGAGGCCGAGGCGGGUGGAUCACCUGAGGUCAGGAGUUCGAGACCAGCCUGACCAAUAUGGUGAAACCCCGUCUCUACUAAAAAUGAAAAAUUAGCUGGGUGUUGUAG